rnacentral:rRNA from 1 species
GACGUAGGGCGCGAGCGUUGUCCGGAUUUAUUGGGCGUAAAGAGCGUGUAGGCGGCCAGGUAGGUCUGGUGUGAAAACUCGAGGCUUAACCUCGAGAUGUCAUCGGAAACCAUCUGGCUAGAGUCCGGAAGAGGAAAGUGGAAUUCCUGGUGUAGCGGUGAAAUGCGCAGAUAUCAGGAAGAACACCAAUGGCGAAAGCAGCUUUCUGGGACGGUACUGACGCUGAGACGCGAAAGCGUGGGGAGCGAACAGG